rnacentral:lncRNA from 1 species
UUUCAGCCAGUUUCAUACAAGCUCCGCCACCCUCCACCGCUGUUCUCCGGUUAACGUCUCCUUUUUUUCAGUUAAAACGUUUUUUAUUACUUUUUGUGUUGACAAUUUUGUGUUUUUUAAAUUUCAGUAACUAUAAUGUUUUGCUUUGUUUUAUAUUGUUGCAUGUAAGGCUUCUUUUUUGUAAGAAUUGAUCUAGACUACUGGACUCUGACUAUUAUGUUUGGAGGAACUUCAGGAUUUGUAUAUUUGGACUUCUUUUUUAUCUUAUAACUCCAUUUUCUAUCA